rnacentral:ncRNA from 14 species
AGGCCCAUAGCCAAGCGGUAAGGCAACGGACUUUGACUCCGUCACUCGUAGGUUCAAAUCCUGCUGGGCCUG